GAUUUUCCAGGACCUUGGCUGUAGCUAAACUAUGCCACUUUCACUAUAAAAGAGUUUGACAACAUAUUUCUAGAGUAUGGGUGUUCUGAGGAAAACAGGAAAAAAGAGAAAAUUAAUUACAUCAAGUAAUUCUAUACUUCAAAUCCAUAAUUGCAUGUAACAUCAUCAUCCAGCACUAUCGUCUGCUAUCAAAAUCAACGAAGGCUGAUUUCAAUAGGAGCACUGUCAGACUAAAGCAUGGAGCCCUUGAGUACAGUAUGUCUUGAGGGUAAGAAGAGAUUGAAGUACAGCAGAAAGUGCUUAAAUACACCAGAGAUGGGUAACCUAAAGUCCUGACCCAAGUGGCAAGCAGUCCAUUCCAGAAUGCGAGAUGUGACACAGAAGCAGGCAGACAAAACCACAACAGUAUGAAGAUGCCAAAGAUGCAGCUAAUUUUUCACAGCGUCAUCCCAUUUAUCACAGAAGAUGCAGAUGAUUAUCGCUUGUCCCAUCAAGCAGUUCUGAUCGAUUCAGUGAGCUACUAGUUGGAAGUAACGGUCUCCACUGGUCAACAAGCACUUCAGUAUUAAGAAAGAUCCUGCAAGCCAGCAACCCAUUUUCAAUACAGAAAGGCUUAAAAAGCCUUACCUUUCAGGUAGGAGACUCCACAGACAGCAUUAUCAGACUCAACAUACCUACAGCAGAGAAUCUAGAUGUGUGAGUCUAAUCAGCUAUCUUGACAAAAAGAAUGAACAAAAUUCCUCUCUCCUUACUGUAAGGUGGUUGGUUCUCAUCCGAGUAACAGUUGUUAUUUCUGUAUCUUUUCUCUUACAUGAUGUGAACUUACACUCAGUUAUAGCAAAAAAUUAAGCUGUGAGAGGACAGUUCACACUGAAGCAUGUAACACAGAAAUACAACUGCUUGUUUCAACCUGUGACAACUUUGUAUUGACUCAAAGUCACUUUAUCUGUAUAACCCAAGCAAUCUACCUGGGAAACUCCAGGAGGAAUGAACACAGUAUUUAAGUUAGGAUGACAAUUCAGUAACUGA